UACGAAGGGGGGCUAGCGUUGCUCGGAAUGACUGGGCGUAAAGGGCGCGUAGGCGGAUGGCACAGUCAGAUGUGAAAUUCCCGGGCUUAACCUGGGGGGCUGCAUUUGAUACGUGUUGUCUUGAGUUCGGAAGAGGGUCGUGGAAUUCCCAGUGUAGAGGUGAAAUUCGUAGAUAUUGGGAAGAACACCGGUGGCGAAGGCGGCGACCUGGUCCGACACUGACGCUGAGGCGCGAAAGCGUGGGGGAGCAAACAGG
rnacentral:rRNA from 1 species